CAAGAUGGAGCUUUAAGCGAUUUAUUUACAUUAAAUAGUACUUUGAUGACACAGAGCAUUUUGA
rnacentral:tRNA from 1 species